rnacentral:rRNA from 1 species
GAUGAACGCUGGCGGCAUGCUUAACACAUGCGAGUCGAACGGGAAGUGGUGUUUCCAGUGGCGAACGGGUGAGUAACGCGUAAGAACCUGCCCUUGGGAGGGGAACAACAACUGGAAACGGUUGCUAAUACCCCGUAGGCUGAGGAGCAAAAGGAGAAAUCCGCCCAAGGAGGGGCUCGCGUCUGAUUAGCUAGUUGGUGAGGUAAUAGCUUACCAAGGCGAUGAUCAGUAGCUGGUCCGAGAGGAUGAUCAGCCACACUGGGACUGAGACACGGCCCAGACUCCUACGGGAGGCAGCAGUGGGGAAUCUUGCGCCAUGGGCGAGAGCGUGACGGAGCAAUGCGGUGUGGAGGUGGAAGGCCUACGGGUCGUCAACUUCUUUUCUCGGAGCAGAAACAAUGACGGUAUCCGAGGAAUGAGCAUCGGCGAACUCUGU